AGCGAACGCUGGCGGCAGGCUUAACACAUGCAAGUCGAACGGGCGUAGCAAUACGUCAGUGGCAGACGGGUGAGUAACGCGUGGGAACGUACCUUUUGGUUCGGAACAACCCAGGGAAACUUGGGCUAAUACCGGAUAAGCCCUUACGGGGAAAGAUUUAUCGCCGAAAGAUCGGCCCGCGUCUGAUUAGCUAGUUGGUGUGGUAACGGCGCACCAAGGCGACGAUCAGUAGCUGGUCUGAGAGGAUGAUCAGCCACAUUGGGACUGAGACACGGCCCAAACUCCUACGGGAGGCAGCAGUGGGGAAUAUUGGACAAUGGGCGCAAGCCUGAUCCAGCCAUGCCGCGUGAGUGAUGAAGGCCCUAGGGUUGUAAAGCUCUUUUGUGCGGGAAGAUAAUGACGGUACCGCAAGAAUACGCCCCGGCUAACUUCGUGCCAGCCGCCGCAGUAAU
rnacentral:rRNA from 1 species